rnacentral:rRNA from 1 species
AUUGGACGCUGGCGGCAUGCCUUACACAUGCAAGUCGAACGGCAGCACGGGAGCAAUCCUGGUGGCGAGUGGCGAACGGGUGAGUAAUAUAUCGGAACGUGCCCAGUAGAGGGGGAUAACUGCUAGAAAGAGCAGCUAAUACCGCAUACGACCUGAGGGUGAAAGGGGGGGAUCGCAAGACCUCUCGCUAUUGGAGCGGCCGAUAUCAGAUUAGCUAGUUGGGGGGGUAAAGGCCUACCAAGGCAACGAUCUGUAGUUGGUCUGAGAGGACGACCAGCCACACUGGGACUGAGACACGGCCCAGACUCCUACGGGAGGCAGCAGUGGGGAAUUUUGGACAAUGGGCGCAAGCCUGAUCCAGCAAUGCCGCGUGCAGGAAGAAGGCCUUCGGGUUGUAAACUGCUUUUGUCAGGGAAGAAAUCCUCUAGGUUAAUACCCUUGGGGGGAUGACGGUACCUGAAGAAUAAGCACCGGCUAACUACGUGCCAGCCGCCGCCGUAACAC